rnacentral:rRNA from 1 species
UACGGGGGGGGCAAGUGUUGUUCGGAAUUACUGGGCGUAAAGGGCUUGUAGGCGGCCAACUAAGUCCGACGUGAAAUCCCCAGGCUUAACCUGGGAACUGCGUCGGAUACUGGAUGGCUUGAAUUCGGGAGAGGGAUGCAGAAUUCCAGGUGUAGCGGUGAAAUGCGUAGAUAUCUGGAGGAAUACCGGUGGCGAAGGCGGCAUCCUGGACCGACAUUGACGCUGAGGAGCGAAAGCUAGGGGAGCAAACGGG